rnacentral:lncRNA from 1 species
UUUCAUACGCGUCCGUGUGAAGAGACCACUAAACAGGCUUUGUGUGAGCAACAUGGCUGUUUAUUUCACCUGGGUGCAGGCGGGCUGAGUCCGAAAAGAGAGUCAGCGAAGGGAGAUAGGGGUGGGGCCAUUUUAUAGGAUUUGGGAAGGUAAUGGAAAAUUACAGUCAAAGGGGGUUGUUCUCUGGUGGGCAGGGGUGAAUCUCACAAAGUACAUUCUCAAGGGUGGGGAGAAUUGCAAAGAACCUUCUUAAGGGUGGGGGAGACGUGAUAUUUGGUUCUCAGUUUCUGUGUUAAUUAUCUGAGGAUAAUGGCCUCCAACUGCAUCCAUGUUGCUGCAAAGAACAUGAUUUCAUUUUUUAUGGCUGCGUAGUAUUCCAUGGUGCAUAUGUAUCACAUUUUCUUUAUCCAAUCCACUGUUGAUGAGCACCUAGGUUGACUGCAUGUCCUGACCUUAGGGCAAAUGCCUACCCAUCCUGUCUCAAGCAUAUGUGCCCCCUGUCACUAUGGUAUAUAAUCUCUGAGUAUGGGGGAUAAUAGUGUGGGAAAUAAAAUUUUAAUUUUAAUGACCUCCAGUUUAUCAAUCCUUCUUUCAUGAAUCAGGCCUUUGGUGUCAUAUCUAAAAAGUCAUUGCCAAACCCAAAAUCAUCUAGAUAUUCACCUGUUAUCCUCUAGGAGUUUU